UAACAGAAUAUAGAGCCCGUUCCUGUUUCCCCAAAAAAGAGACAUCUCCGGUGUGGCCGCUCCGCCUCCACCUCCUCUCCCUGGCUUCGGCCGUCGCCUUGCGCCCCACCUUCUCCCCUGGCUCUGGCCGCCGCGCCGAGCCCCACCGUCUCCCCUGGCUCCGGUCGCCGCCUCGUGCCCCACCUUCUCCCCUAGAUCCGGCCGUGGCCCGGCGCCCCACCUUCUCCCUGGCUCCGGCCGCCGCCCCGUGCCCCACCUUCUACCCCCGGCUCCGACCGUCCCCCAUGCCUCACCUUCUCCCUCGGCUCCGGCCGUCGCCCCACGCCCCACCUUCUCCCUCGGCUCCGGUCGCCGCCUAAUCCCUCACCAUCUCGUGCCCCUGGCCGCGCCCCAUCCACCAUCCCCAUCGCCGGCCGCCCCCAUCUGCAGCGCGCCUGCCGCCCCCAUCCCCAGCGCACCAACCCCCAGGUCGCCACCUGCCUCAUCGCGACGCCGCCCACUGCCCUUCCUCCUGGCUUCUCCCAGCCAUGUCGAGCGCCUCCUCCCUGCUCCAAGCUCGCUGCAGACUACACAGAGCCGCCAGCCCCCGCCGCCUCCCGUGCUAGUACAACGCCGCCCCUGUACAAGGUUCAAAGAACUUACAGUGAGAAGGAAGGGAGAUGCUAAGGUCCGGCAGCUUCCUCGUUGCCAUCCUGGCCCCUCAAGACGACCUCUGGUUCGGCCUUUCGUCAAAGGAGAAAAGAAGACUGAUGUGGUGCUCCUGUUGGAUGUACUCUGGAGAAGAGUUAACAGAAAGUUGUAGCAAAGAACAAAAAAGAAGAAAAAAAAUAUAGGGUUGCAGUUUAAGGAAGUUGGGAAUUAAAAGUUCAAAUUGUGCUAAUUGUCGCCGAGCCUCGGGUCGAUUCAUUCCUAAGCUAUGUCUUCAGUCAGCAGCGGAGAUGCCUGCGGGUACAUCGAUAGGAGCAGGAGACCCAUCAAACUUUGUUAACGGGCAUAUAGGAACAACAAGUUAGGUCCGUGCAUAUCAUCAUUCUGAGAGUCUGACAGAUUUGUGUUGAUUGAGUCCACGGUGGCAGUAGAACAUUAAGUACCAUGGAGUUUACAGUCAUUGUGAGCAGGAUGCAUCGAAUACAACAGUUAUUCUUCCAGAUGAAGUGAAGUGACCUCCCCGGAGAGGAAGCGAUCGCUGUGCAGCGAUGCAUCUUGCCGUCGUCACCGCUUGCAUAGUUCUCUGAAUGGAUGGAUGGAUGGGUACAGUUCUCUGAAUGUGAAGUCGAUUGUUGCUCAGCUUUCUCGCAAUUUACUCAGUCUCGUUUUGCUCCAAAGCGUGCUUCAGUUCAACAAAAAGCUCCAGAAAAGUUCAGAGUUCACAGGAGUCACUUCAGGUUGGCUCUUUUUUAUUCUCCAGUUUGGGAUAAAGCAGGGAGAGGAGGAGUUCAACUAUACAGAAAGGUGAUGGUUUCAACUGGGGCUUCCGUGACGAUCCGCUGAUGUUCUGAUCUCUAGUUUCUAUGAACUGAUGGGUAAGAUUCUCUCUCUCAUGCUCUCUCUCUCUCUCUCUCUCUCUCUCUCUCUCUCUCUCUCUCUCCUCAUCCUUUGUAGUUUGUGUGAACUGAUAGUUUAGACUCGAUGAAAUCCGCUGUUUGUAGUUUGUGUGUACUGAUAGUUGAAACUAUGAAUUCCAUGCUUUGUAGUUUGUAUGAACUAAUAGUUAAGACUCGAUGAACUCCAUGCUUUGUAGUUUUUGUGUGAACUGAUAGUUGAGACCUCAAGAGUUGUCCAUCUCGACUCGGUGAACUCAUAGCUGAUAGUUUUGUGAAGUGAAAAUUCUUCUUCAAGUUCUUGUGGUAUUUAAUACUUUGUGAGCUGAUAGCUGAUACUUUGAGAUGGAUGUAUUAUUAGGCUGUGAAAGUGAUGUCAAAUAUGUGCAGUUUAAUGGAUGAGUGUUAUAUAGAUCCUUUUAAUCUGAAGGUAGUAUCUUCUAUAGACAAGAAAUGGGCAUUUGGCUCAGUAAUCGUCCAUUACUAGAGGUAUUGUCACUUGACCAUUUCCAGAACUAGUUUCAAUUCGUGGACUACCGACACUUGCAAAAUCAAAGAGGCUGACCAUAUCAAAGUGCCCAAAGUUGAAGCAAAGGAGAUGAGAUGCUACAAAAAAGCGGCCAAAUCCCGGCGCACCUGGUAGUUCAAACUUACACCAGAUGGCCGGUGACCAACUGCCUCGCCUCUACAAGCUCCUCGGGGAUGACUUGGUAGUAGCUGGGAUCCCCUACCAGUGGCCAAAUCCCGCUGCACCCAGCCGCCGGUCGUGAUCCCCUCUCCUCCAGCUCCACUUCGAGGCGCCGUCAGUCCACAGGAGCAGGGGCGGUGUGCUAAUCAACAAAAAAGAGCAGAAGGAUGCAUAAAAAAUCAAAGGUAGCAGCUCAAAAAGAUGAAUAUUGGAAGCCCAUUGCCGGGCUGCAGAUGCGUAUGACUUGAAUCGGUAGCAGGCCUGUAACCGAAUCAUUCCGCACCACUUUUCUGUCCGUGUGGCUUGAUCUGCAGCCCGCCGGCUCAGUCGUGUACGUCCAGACAAGACAUUAUGGUGCAAUUUAAUGCAUGAAUUGCAGUAUGUGUUUGAGAGUGGAUGAACCCAUACCUGAAGGCUCUGGGCUCCAACUACAGCAACGGUGUCAAAUUCACCAUGGCUGGCUCAACGGUGUCCCGCGGCGUCUCCCAAUUCCCUGAACAUCCAGGUCGAUUCGUUCGUCUACUACAAGUGCAGAUCCCUAGAGCUCUAAAAUUCCGUAUCAGGGUAUUUUUUCAUCGGUUCUAAAAUUCCCAGAGCAUCAGUCCAACGACGUAUCGGGGUAUACUGUGUUGCUCCUGCAAAUUUUUUGUAUGCUUGUAUGUAGAAAAAUGGUAGAGUUACUGCUUUGAUGUGUCGUGGUGUGAAUGUUGUUGAUGUUCAAAGUUUGUGCAGAGAAAGACUUCAAAAACUCAUGUCGCCGAUGGAAUGAAUUACUAGAAGUUCAAAUUUGCUAA